AACACUGUCUGGUAACGAU
rnacentral:miRNA from 1 species